GACGAACGCUGGCGGCGUGCUUAACACAUGCAAGUCGAGCGAUGAAUUUUCUUCGGAAAUGGAUUAGCGGCGAACGGGUGAGGAACACGUGAAGAAUCUGCCCUCCACUUGGGGAUAACACAGGGAAACCUGUGCUAAUACCGAAUAUUGAAACAUAAGUGGCAUCACUGAGUUUUGAAAGAAUUUCGGUGGAGGAUGACUUCGCGGCCUAUCAGCUAGUUGGUGAGGUAAUGGCUCACCAAGGCAACGACGGGUAGCCGGCCUGAGAGGGCGACCGGCCACACUGGGACUGAGACACGGCCCAGACUCCUACGGGAGGCAGCAGUGGGGAAUAUUGGGCAAUGGAGGAAACUCUGACCCAGCGACGCCGCGUGCGGGAUGAAGGCCUUCGGGUUGUAAACCGCUUUCAGUAGGGAAGAAGCGAAAGUGACGGUACCUACAAAAGAAGCACCGGCUAACUAUGUGCCAGCCGCCGCGUAA
rnacentral:rRNA from 1 species